GGCGUCGACCGGCGCACGGGUGAGUAACGCGUAUCCAACCUGCCCACCACUUGGGGAUAACCUUGCGAAAGUAAGACUAAUACCCAAUGAUAUCUCUAGAAGACAUCUGAAAGAGAUUAAAGAUUUAUCGGUGAUGGAUGGGGAUGCGUCUGAUUAGCUUGUUGGCGGGGUAACGGCCCACCAAGGCAACGAUCAGUAGGGGUUCUGAGAGGAAGGUCCCCCACAUUGGAACUGAGACACGGUCCAAACUCCUACGGGAGGCAGCAGUGAGGAAUAUUGGUCAAUGGACGAGAGUCUGAACCAGCCAAGUAGCGUGCAGGAUGACGGCCCUAUGGGUUGUAAACUGCUUUUAUAAGGGAAUAAAGUGAGUCUCGUGAGACUUUUUGCAUGUACCUUAUGAAUAAGGACCGGCUAAUUCCGUGCCAGCAGCCGCGGUAAUACGGAAGGUCCGGGCGUUAUCCGGAUUUAUUGGGUUUAAAGGGAGCGUAGGCCGGAGAUUAAGCGUGUUGUGAAAUGUAGAUGCUCAACAUCUGAACUGCAGCGCGAACUGGUUUCCUUGAGUACGCACAAAGUGGGCGGAAUUCGUGGUGUAGCGGUGAAAUGCUUAGAUAUCACGAAGAACUCCGAUUGCGAAGGCAGCUCACUGGAGCGCAACUGACGCUGAAGCUCGAAAGUGCGGGUAUCGAACAGGAUUAGAUACCCUGGUAGUCCGCACGGUAAACGAUGGAUGCCCGCUGUUGGUCUGAAUAGGUCAGCGGCCAAGCGAAAGCAUUAAGCAUCCCACCUGGGGAGUACGCCGGCAACGGUGAAACUCAAAGGAAUUGACGGGGGCCCGCACAAGCGGAGGAACAUGUGGUUUAAUUCGAUGAUACGCGAGGAACCUUACCCGGGCUUGAAUUGCAGAGGAAGGAUUUGGAGACAAUGACGCCCUUCGGGGUCUCUGUGAAGGUGCUGCAUGGUUGUCGUCAGCUCGUGCCGUGAGGUGUCGGCUUAAGUGCCAUAACGAGCGCAACCCCUCUCCUUAGUUGCCAUCAGGUCAAGCUGGGCACUCUGGGGACACUGCCACCGUAAGGUGUGAGGAAGGUGGGGAUGACGUCAAAUCAGCACGGCCCUUAC
rnacentral:rRNA from 1 species